AAAGGGUUCAAAUAAACACAGGCUGGUGUUCACUAGAAUGACACAACUAAAAUUCUAUUUUUAUUUUUAUUAUCUCAAUCUUGCAAAAAAUAGCCGGCAAAUGAUGAAUGAUCAUUUCCAAUAACUGCCUCUGUCUGGCCGAGGUGUCUAUGCUUAAUAUAAACACGAUCGCCUUUCUUUAAUUCAACCAAUACACUAAUACUACUUGCUUCGUGUGGUCCGUUGUUUGAAUAUCCGCUUACAUACAAUGAGUCGUUCUUGUUGAGUUGAUAACCGACGUCUUUUCCAUUGUCCCCAUAAAUCACACAACUGAAAUGAUACAAUCCAGUGAAGAUCCCUGUAGAUGGGUUGUAGCCUCCACCUCUAUUGACCUUUACUCCAUCAAAUAUCAACACUUUGUUAGAGUUGGAUAAAACAGCACUUUUCGACAAUGUUGAGAAGAAUGCAGGUCUAAUCUGUUUAUCUGCAAUGAAAAUGUCAUUUUUUAACAAUUAGAUUUU
rnacentral:lncRNA from 1 species